UUCCCAAAAACAUAAAGUUUUGGUCCUAAACUUGCCAUUGUUUUUUAGCAAAAUUAUACAUGCAAGCCUCUACAAACCAGUGAGAAUGCCCACAUACCCUAGACAGCCAACCGGAGCGGGCAUCAGGAUACAAUCAAUAUUUAAGCCAAAGACGCCUUGCGAACGCCACACCCACACGGGCCUUCAGCAGUAAUUAACAUUAAAAAUGAGCGCAAGCUCGAUUUAGUUAUUCUAAACAUGGUCGGUAAAUUUCGUGCCAGCCACCGCGGUUAUACGAAAGACCAAAAACAAUAGCCAACGGCGUAAAGCGUGACUAGAGGUUUACCUAAUACUAAAGGAGAACAACCGCCAAGUUGUAAAACACUACUGCACAUUAGAAUCACAACAAUAAAUACCUUUAAAUACACUUCACCUCACGAAAGCUAAGAAACAAACUGGGAUUAGAUACCCCACUAUGCUUAGCCCUAAACACAGAUAGUAUAAACACAAACUAUCCGCCAGAGAACUACAAGCGAAAAGCUUAAAACUCCAAGGACUUGGCGGUGCUUCAAAUCAACCUAGAGGAGCCUGUCCUAUAAUCGAUACCCCACGUUUUACCUUACCACUUCUAGCCCACCAGCCUAUAUACCGCCGUCGUCAGCCUACCUUAUGAAAGAAAUAAAGUGAGCAAAAAAGUCAAUAACUAACACGUCAGGUCAAGGUGUAGCAUACGAAGUGGCAGAGAUGGGCUACAUUUUUUCAAAGUAAAAACACAGAUAAUAAACUGAAAUAUAUACUUGAAGGCGGAUUUAGUAGUAAGACAAGAAAGCAUACUCGUCUUAAAUCUGCUCUGAAGCGCGCACACACCGCCCGUCACCCUCAUCAUAUGUCACACCACACAAAAUAUUUUAUUA
rnacentral:ncRNA from 1 species